GCUUCUUCUCUCUCUUUGGAUCUCAAUACCAUGUUCUCCUCGAUCUUCUUGGAGAUCUAUUGUGACUCCCGGAUAAUCAAGCUACAGUAAUUCUCUGCUAAUGAUGCCACAUCACUUCGAUUACUGUUGCUAAUCUCGCGUUAGUUCAAAACCGAUUCAAAAAUCAAUUCAAAAUAUGGAAAACAAACAAAUGUCUUCAAACAUUGAAACAAAAAUGUUCGGUUUGUGCCGAAUAUUACAAAGGUAAUUAUAGUAAAGAAAACACAAAUUUAUAAAAUACGUAAAUGCCCUAAGGUGAAUUAAAAUAGUAAAAGAAAAUAAAUAAAAGAAAAAGAAUAAAAACAGAAAAACAAAAGACAAAAAAAUAAUAAUAGAAGAGAACCCCCCGGGCUUCGACCCAACUUACCACAGGCCCAACUGGGCCAACCCACCAGGCCUAGCCGGCCACUCCCCCACUUCCCCUUAUCCCUGGACCCCGAAACCCUAUCCACCCCACCGACACCCCACGUUCCCCACUCCUCGCACCCACUCCCCCCCGCUUGAUCUGGAUCGGGGCGCGACGCCCCGACCCCGCUGCCCGACGCCGCACCACUGCCGUUGCCGUCACCGCCUCGCCAAAGCGCUCCCUCACCGGUCUGCCUCCCCCUACGCACGUCGUCGCCGUCGUCCUCCUCGAGCCCGCUACCACUCCCCUACAGCGUCCGUGAGCACCUCCCUCUCUCCCCGUCUGCGUCGCCCGUUCCGGCCACCGCACCCGACGCUCCCCACGAGCGCCCCGCCCGCGGCGCGCACCGCUGCCCCUGACCGCGCUUGACCUUUCCCCUGCUCCGCCCCGCCUGCUGCCUUCCUCCGCCCCGCUUCCUGUGCGUCCGCUGCAUCGCCGACCUGCGCGGCCGUCACCUCUACAGCAUGCUCCCUGCGCCCGCACGCGUUGCUCCUCCCCGCUCGCCAUGUGUCGCGCCGAGGAGCCUCCGCCCCUCUCGCCGCGGCCACGCGCGCCCGUCAUCCGCCUCCGGCCGCCCUGCUGCAUGUCGGCAGCCGCGGCCCUCCCCAUGCUCCGCCCGGUCGNNNNNNNNNNNNNNNNNNNNNNNNNNNNNNNNNNNNNNNNNNNNNNNNNNNNNNNNNNNNNNNNNNNNNNNNNNNNNNNNNNNNNNNNNNNNNNNNNNNNNNNNNNNNNNNNNNNNNNNNNNNNNNNNNNNNNNNNNNNNNNNNNNNNNNNNNNNNNNNNNNNNNNNNNNNNNNNNNNNNNNNNNNNNNNNNNNNNNNNNNNNNNNNNNNNNNNNNNNNNNNNNNNNNNNNNNNNNNNNNNNNNNNNNNNNNNNNNNNNNNNNNNNNGGAGCUCAACACCGGCGCGCUGGCGCCCGCGCCAGCCAGCCGCCCCUUGUUGCCCAGUCGGGUGCGCCCCCGCGGGCUAGCGCCCGUUCGGGCUGUGCCCAUUAGCGCCCGUGCCCGCUAUGGCCUCUGGGCCACUGCCAAACGGGGCCCACUGCCCAGAACAUUAAAAAAAGAAACGAACAUGAAAUUGGUAAAAUUAAUAAUUAAUUAAUCAAUUAAUUAGUGAAUUAAUUAAGUUGAUUAACUGUUUAACCAAACUAACUAAGAUUAGUUAACCUAAUCAAUUAGUUAAACUAAUUAACCCCGUUUAGCUAACUCGAGUCUAUGACCAGUGGGACCCACGUGUCAGUUUGACCAGUCAACGGUCAGAGUUGACUGCUGAUGUCAUGCUGACAUCAUAAAUGCAAUUUCGAAUUAAAAUAAUCUGUUAAUUCUAGAAAAUGAUUUAAAACUUUAAAAAUUAAUAUAAAAUAAUCCGUAACUCGGAUGGAAAAACUUUGUCCAUGAAAGUUGCUCAGAACAACGAGACGAAUCUGGUUACACUGCCCGUUCGUCCGCCACACAUACCUAGCAUAGCAAACACGCAACUUUCCCCCUCCGGUUCAUCUGUCCGAAAACGCGGAACACCGGGGAUACUUUCCCGGAUGUUUCCCCCUUCGCCGGUAUCACCUACCACUACGUUAGGUCACCCAUAGCACCGCAUAUUGCCGUGUCUUGCUUUGUGUUACAUUUGAUUGCUCUGUUAUUUAUUGUGUUCCUCCUUCGUUACUUCUUUCCGGUAGACUCUGAGACCGGUGCCGAUGUCCGUGUGUUCGACUACACCGAAGAUGACCCCUCCUUCUUGCCAGAGCAACCAGGCAAGCCCCCCCCCUUGAUCACCAGAUAUCGCCUACCCUUCUCUAUACUGCUUGCAUUAGAGUAGUGUAGCAUGUUACUGAUUUCCGUUAAUCCUAUUCUGCUGCAUAGCCUGUCAUUGUUGCUACAGUUGUUACCCUUACCUGCAAUCCUAAAUGCUUAGUACAGGAUGCUAGUAUUCCAUUAGUGGCCCUACACUCUUGUCCGUCUGCCUUGCUAUACUACUGGGCCGUGAUCACUUCGGGAGGUGAUCACGAGCAUAUGCUAUAUGCUAUAUACUGUUUCAUUACUUAUGAUACUGUUCGGAGAUGGGGGCUGAAGGGGAAGGUGGCUCCAUCCCGGUAGAGGUGGGCCUGGGUUCCCGACGGCCCCCCGACUGUUAAUUUGUGGCGGAGCGAUAGGGCAGGUUGAGACCACCUAGGAGAGAGGUGGUCUGGCCCUGGUCGGCGUCCGCGGAUACUUAAAAAUAACACGCUUAACGAGUUCUUGGUAUUUGAUCUGAGUCUGGCCAUUUGGUCUAUACGCACUAACUAACUACGUGGGAAAGUUAUGGGCACUCGACGUCGUGGUAUCAGCCGAAGCCUUCAUGACGUCAGCGACUGAGUGGCGCGCGCCGGAUUGGACUGGAACGCCUGCUAGGCUAGGUCUGCUUCCAGCCGCGUUCGCAAUGUGCAGGUGUGUAAUGGGCGAUGGGCCCAGACCCCUGCUCCAUAGGAUUUAGACCGGCGUGCGGACCUCUCUGUGGUGCCUAGGUGGGGCUGCGACGUGUUGAUCUUCUGCGGCCGGGCAUGACCCAGAAAAGUGUAUCCGGCCAAAUGGGAUUGAGCGUGUUGGGUUAUGUGGUGCACCCCUGCAGGGAAGUUUAUCUAUUCGAAUAGCCGUGAUCUUCGGUAACAGGACGACUUGGAGUUGUACCUUGACCUUAUGACAACUAGAACCGGAUACUUAAUAAAACACACCUUCCAUGUGCCAGAUAUAACCCGGUGAUCGCUCUCUAACAGGGCGACGAGGAGGGGAUCGCCGGGUAGGAUUAUGUUAUGCGAUGCUACUUGGUGAACUUACCACCUACUCUCUCCUACAUGCUGCAAGAUGGAGGUGGCCAGAAGCGUAGUCUUCGACAGGAUUAGCUAUCCCCCUCUUAUUCUGGCAUUCUGCAGUUCAGUCCACCGAUAUGGCCCUUUACACAUAUACCCAUGAAUAGGUAGUGUAGCUCCUUGCUUGCGAGUACUUUGGAUGAGUACGCACGGUUGCUUUACUUCCUCUUUUCCCCUUUUCCCCUCUACCUGGUUGUCGCAACUAGAUGCUGGAGCCCAGGAGCCAGACGCCACCAAUGACGACAACUCCUACUACACCGCGGGUGCCUACUACUCCUUGCAGGCCACCGACGACGACCAGGAGUAGUUUACGAGGAUCCCAGGCAGGAGGCAUGCGCCUCUUUCGAUCUGUAUCCUAGUUUGUGCUAGGCUUCUUAAGGCAAACUUGUUUAACUUAUGUCUGUACUCAGAUAUUGUUGCUUCCGCUGACUCGUCUAUGAUCGAGCAAUUGUAUUCGAGCCCUCAAGGCCCCUGGCUUGUAUUAUGAUGCUUGUAUGACUUAUUUUAUUUUUAGAGUUGUGUUGUGAUAACUUCCCGUGAGUCCCUGAUCUUGAUCGUACACGUUUGUGUGUAUGAUUAGUGUACGAUUGAAUCAGGGGCGUCACAAGUUGGUAUCAGAGCCGACUGCCUGUAGGAAUCCCCCUUCCACACUCCUUGGCCGAAGUCGAGUCUAGACAUUGCAAAAACUUUUACUAACAUUGCUGUGUGUCCCAUGGGCCCACGUCGCCAUUGGGUUGUAUUAGGAUCUUUUACUCCUCGAUCUUUACUCCAGGAUUCAGAACUCUCUUCUAUUCGGGUUAAACGAUUUUUACUAAAAUCUAACUUUAGGUUCUCAAAAAUACUUUCUCCCGGAGAGCCCCUUCAGUCCAGAUGAUUGCCGGCUGCACCAGAAGAUUUCGAAGAUACUCUCCGAUAUUCUCCCGAGACCUUGUGCCCGUUGCUUUUGCAAUUCCCUUCCACCGAAAUAUCCCUAUGGAUAAAUACUUACACCUGUCAUGCUUACUUUUAUUCCCAGUCGAUCUUGUUAUUACAAGAUACCCCGAGAAUAUUUUGUGCCUACUGCCUUGCAGUUCUUUGCCACCUGAAUACCCCUAAGAAUAAUUUCUCGCACUUUCUGAGUAUCCGGUCAUCCCAAGUUGUUCAGGUGUUUCACAAAAGUCUUUGAAAUACUAUUCAAUCCUCCGAAAAUCCUUAGCAGCUUUAUUACUCUGCAAAUACUUGUCUACUUGCAUUAUGGAUGCUUCCCAUAUAUCUGGCAAUAUACAUUAGUCUCCUUUGGCACCGUCAUUUUGAUCCUAUUGAUUCAACAUGAGUGCGAAUGCACUCAAUUAUCAGUUGAUCCUUUUAAAUUAUCUUUUUGGCUCAGACAUCAUUUUAAACAUGAGCUGGAUCUCGAGCAAUGAAAUUGACAUCGAUUGUACCCUUAAACCUACUCAACUUAUCCAUCCUUGAUCAGAGUGUUUGCUUCUGAUCCCUUGAUUUGGAACUUAUAAUUCCUUUGAAUUAGUCAGUUGUUUUGAUAAUCCAAUCUCCUUGCUUUCUUUCUUCUUCUGGUUGAGUACCGAUGCUCACAUCAGAUCCCUUGUGGGACACCAGAACUUUUAUUGGAUUUUAUCCGACGACGUCCUUCAUAUUCAAUAACUUUGUGAGUCUUUUCUCGGAUACAUAAUGCCAUUGGUAAAUCCUAUUCUUUGAUUUGGCCAACCAUGCUCUGCUUUUGAGCUGGUGAUAUUUACUCUUGAAGCUUGUGGUAUAUGUUUCUAAGAUACCCCGAUGGGUUGAACCUAUGCCUUCUUUAAUUUGUGUGAGCCCGAAAAGUUUUCACGGGUCAUCUUCCUCUGGUAAUUCGCUAGGUAGGUUUUCACACUCAAAUCAUUUUUAUAUAAGAGCAGUGAAUGGAAGGUUAUACAUUGAAGAAGUGGGAGUCGACCUUGAACUUGUGUUCAUGCCCAUGGACGCGAUGUAGAUCCUAUCAUGGAAGCUUCUUGUAAUAAUAACUAUUGCCUUGAUACAAUAUCAUCUGGUAUCUGUGAAUUGAUCCUUUGCAAUCGUGGUUCCGACCAUAUUUUCCACUUGAUCCCAUUUCUUAAGCAAGUGAAAACACUUGUCUUCUGUGAAUCAAUACAUCUCCGCAACCCCUAGGUCGAUCUUCCUUCGAAUAAUGCCCUCCAGUAUCUCGAGAAUAUCAAAGAACUGUGUUGCUUCUUAUGAGUUCUUCAUCAAGUACUACAUUCUCACUGAUUCCAAAUUUUCACAGGCUCUGAGUUAUUAAACACUCAAAGACAUCGAUAACUGAAUCGAGUUCGCACCGCGAUUAAACAACUCUUGGUAACCUUCAUUACUUACAAAUUUAAUACUCGAUCACAUCGUUCCUAGCCUAAUUGGCUAUAUCAUUAUCGUGCUGAAUUUAACUAUGCUACCUGGUCCUUAUUCCCCGAGCAUAACUUUCGGCGAUGAGCUAAGCUUACGUCGAUCUUCCUCGUCUUAUCGUUUCACCUCGAACAACAAGCUUGAUUCCGAGUUGGUGUCGUAUCCAUAGACCCAAUAAUCUUUCACUGCAUCAGUCCUUUUGCUUGAUGCUGUCGUUGUUCGAUUGCUUCUUCGUGGAGCCUCUCGACAAAAUUUGUCAUGAUCAUUAUCAACAUCUUGACUCCUUCCUGGAUAUCAAUUGAAUUCAUGAUGAGAAACACCAUCCUUGCCUCUCAAGGAUUUGUGUUAUCAUGAACAACAUUAUUGCCUUCCCUCCAACACAAACUUGUUCAUGUUAUGGAGCUCCUUCUAUCCAGAAUUUGUUCUUUACCUUGGAGUAUUACCAUCUUUUAUGUCAAGAAUGUCAUGAGAAUUUCACCACCUCUUAAGAAUUCUUGGUACAGGUGAUACUUCUUGCCAUAUUCGUUCACUCCUUGCCAUAUCCGUUCACUUCUAGCAACCCUAUUGCUUUGAAGAUUAAUGGUCGAUGUUUCAUUCUAAGUCUAUUGCUUAUUGAAUCAUCAUUCAAACAUUGAUCAUGCUACCUAGUCCAGAUUUUCGGGUGCACCCUUCUAUCAUUGUUAAAUUGUGUAUGUUUUCCUCGAGCAUACAUCAUUAUAUCAUUUGAUCCGACAAAUGUUAUCUCCUUGUUCACAUAAUUGUGGAAAUCCAUCCUUUGGAAAUCUCGAUGAUUUGUCGCUGAGUCCAUCAGCCACCUCCUCAUCUUCUCCUUGGUUUACUGAUGAACUCUUGUUUCGAAACUCACUUCCAUAGUUCAUUUCCCGAGAAUCUUAUGCCGACUUCUUGUCAAUUUGUGUCGCACCUUUUUAUCUCAGGUUCCUGAGUCUGAGGUAUCCUGACACCAAUCAGAUCUGAAUCUCAGUCAGAUAUGAUGGUUGGAACAUAUUUCCAAGAGUUAUAACAUUGGUCUUUAUAUGACCCGGUAAGGUGAUGUCAUGCCUAGCACACCUGGCUGGAGGACCUAUUGUUAUAGUUUCCUUUUGGCAAGGUUAGUCAUUCUUCCGUGAGGAAAUUGUAAGACUUAUUCUAUAAGUUGUUCCUGAUGGAUCCUUUUUGUUUCGAAAGUCUGAUCUUCGCUUGUUGACCAUGUCAAUGCUAUCUCAAAGCAUGUCUAUGGUACUCCGAUUUUCAACAGGAACAUUUGAAGCCCAAUGUUUAAUGUUUCCUGCUCAAUUAUCCAAACACCGUUGUAUGGGUAAUGUCAUGAAAAUUCUCUCCCGUACCUAAAGAGUUAUCUACUUCUAUCCUGUCACGGAUAUCAUGCUCUGCUUGUCCUUGGGAAGGAUAUAUCCCUGAAACAUGUGUUAGACACAUUUACCUUUCCAUUGUUCUGUUUAAUCUGAUGGUCACCUUUUCGUUUUCAUUGAUUUGUUUAACCUUUCUGGUGAUCUAUAUGAUCUAAGCAGUAAUUUUCUCCUGCUUAUGUAAACACCUUGGUGUACAACCGUGUCAGUAAGACCCUGUUGCAUUUGUUGAUGGCAUUUCGGUAACCACCGAUGUGCGAGAACUUUGCCUAUUGGUCCGCCUCGUUUAACGAGCAGGAAAAUGGUUCUCUUCGUCCCUCGCCCUUGGUACCAACGAUGCUGCCAACAUAACUGACCGGUUAUUCUCUGACAUGCCUUGCUUACAUGAUCGUGCAAGACGUCACCCCUCUUUCUACUUUUAACCCACAUGGUGGGCCCAUAACCCACAGUUCCACAGGAUCAAAACCUGACUUUCCUAUACCCCCUGUUUCCAAACUUAUUCCUCGUGCUUGGCUUCGUAUUUAAUUCACGGGCCACCUUCCUAGUGCUCUAUUCUGGUAUCAGACGCAAUACUUACUCUCGCUGCUCUGAACCCCUUUCUCACUCUGGUUCAGACUUCGAUCAACUAUCUAUCCGCUUGGAACCUCUUAUUGUACCUUCGUACCUUACUCUCGAUAUUUUCUUAAGUUUCAAUUCGAGAGUUACUUUCCGUCACCUUCCCCGAUGUUAUCGACCAGGUAGUCAACCUUGCAGAGGUCCGUUCUCCCGGAAUGCCCCCUUUUAUUCUUUCGUAAGUACGAUGGAGUUCCCGAAGAAAGGAUGAUGACUUCAUCAUGAUGAUCUGAAGCAAAGAAAUGAAGACAUCAACGUAAUGGAUCAACUUCUUCAAGAAGAGCAACCAAGACCGAGAAGACUCGCUAGAAUUUCGUAACCAGAACCUCCUCCCUUAUGCAGCUUAAAUCUCGGGACGAGAUUUCUUGUAGUGGAGGAGAAUUGCGACGCCCGGAUAAUCAAGCUACAGUAAUUCUCUGCUAAUGAUGCCACGUCACUUCGAUUACUGUUGCUAAUCUCGCGUUAGUCCAAAACCGAUUCAAAAAUCAAUUCAAGAUAUGGCAAACAAACAAAUGUCUUCAAACAUUGAAACAAAAUUGUUUGGUUUGUGCCGAAUAUUACAAAGGUAAUUAUAGUAAAGAAAACACAAAUUUAUAAAAUACUUAAAUGCCCUAA
rnacentral:lncRNA from 1 species